rnacentral:rRNA from 1 species
GUAACAAGGUCUCCGUAGGUGAACCUGCGGAGGGAUCAUUACACAAUAAAAUAUGAAGGCUGUACGCGGCUGUGCUCUCGGGCCAGUUUUGCGGAGGCUGAAUUAUUUAUUACCCUUGUCUUUUGCGCACUUGUUGUUUCCUGGGCGGGUUCGCCCGCCACCAGGACCACAUCAUAAACCUUUUUUAUGCAGUUGCAAUCAGCGUCAGUAUAACAAAUGUAAAUCAUUUACAACUUUCAACAACGGAUCUCUUGGUUCUGGCAUCGAUGAAGAACGCAGCGAAAUGCGAUACGUAGUGUGAAUUGCAGAAUUCAGUGAAUCAUCGAAUCUUUGAACGCACAUUGCGCCCUUUGGUAUUCCAAAGGGCAUGCCUGUUCGAGCGUCAUUUGUACCCUCAAGCUUUGCUUGGUGUUGGGCGUUUUUUGUCUUUGGUUGCCAAAGACUCGCCUUAAAAGGAUUGGCAGCCGGCCUACUGGUUUCGCAGCGCAGCACAUUUUUGCGCUUGCAAUCAGCAAAAGAGGACGGCAAUCCAUCAAGACUCCUUCUCACGUUGACCUCGGAU